rnacentral:rRNA from 1 species
AUUGAACGCUGGCGGCAGGCUUAACACAUGCAAGUCGAGCGGGGGAAGGUAGCUUGCUACCUAACCUAGCGGCGGACGGGUGAGUAAUGCUUAGGAAUCUGCCUAUUAGUGGGGGACAACAUUUCGAAAGGGAUGCUAAUACCGCAUACGCCCUAAGGGGGAAAGCAGGGGAUCUUCGGACCUUGCGCUAAUAGAUGAGCCUAAGUCGGAUGAGCUAGUUGGUGGGGUAAAGGCCUACCAAGGCGACGAUCUGUAGCGGGUCUGAGAGGAUGAUCCGCCACACUGGGACUGAGACACGGACCAGACUCCUACGGGAGGCAGCAGUGGGGAAUAUUGGACAAUGGGGGGAACCCUGAUCCAGCCAUGCCGCGUGUGUGAAGAAGGCCUUUUGGUUGUAAAGCACUUUAAGCGAGGAGGAGGCUACCGAGAUUAAUACUCUUGGAUAGUGGACGUUACUCGCAGAAUAAGCACCGGCUAACUCUGUGCCAGCCGCCGCCGUAACAC